UCUUUUCUCUAAACAGACCCAUUUCUUGUUACCAUAAUGAGUGGAUUACUUACUGUCCACACAUUAGAGGCUUUAAUUUUCUAUUGGCAAUGGUGCCAACGGGGUUAAGUAUCAAGUGUAUGGCUCCCUGUUCUCAGUCCUUUACUGUGCUGGGAUUAUUCAACUCCUGCCACUCAAUGUUUCAGCUGUCUCUCAGAGGGUCUGACACAAAAACCCUGUAUUAUCAGCCCAGACAUUAGGCUCUGGCACUGAUGGCUCUCCUGCCUGCACAGGUAAGAAUGUUUUGCUUAGCGCUGGAACUCUGUUGAUUUCUGUGCUCAACAGCCACAAAGGAAGUAGCCUAAACUUCCCCACAGUAAGACAGAAGGUGUCUCAGCUCUUGCUCUUGUGUUUAGAUAGAACAGUCCCCCAUCUUGUCCCAUCUGUGCAGGGUAGAAUAAAAUAGGAUCCAAACUUCUAUUCCCAACACCCGAGGGCACAGAGGCUUGCUUGUUCCAACAGUACUGUGUUACCACAAAUUCCUUUUACCAGCCUAACAGAACUCACGGACUCUUCCCUGACCAUGUCAAGUUCUAAGACCCACCGUGAAUUCUGCUUCUGCUGGGCACACCGAGAGUUUUAUCUGACCUACUUUACAAAACGUCCCUGUCACUUCUCCAGUGUCUCCUCUGAUGAUCCAAUGAUUCACUCCACACCCUUCGUAAGUCCUGCCUGUCAUUCCAGAGGCCUCUAAGACUCAGUUUCACUGCACAGCUCACAUGAUAGGCAGUGGUCCAAUGUAUUGCCAAUAGCACUCACUCUGCCCUAACUUAAAAUACACAGCCCAGCCUGCCAAGUUUCCUUAUUUGGCAAGAAGGUCCCUCAGUUCCCAAGAUCUUUGACCAUCCAUUUUUAGAUCUAAAUCUGUGUGCUUAAUAUUCGGUCGGUUAUUAUUUCCCUUAAUGUGUUCUUCUGUAUCCCCCUCUUCCCCUCAAGAAAAACUUUUAAAACAUCAGUUGCUUGCUUUCUUAGACAACAAAACGUUUCCCACUUAAACUUUUGACUUGCAUAGUUUAAAAAAAAAAGCAAUCCCCAAAAGUUUUUGUCGAAAUUAUAUUGUAAAAGACUAAAUAAACAGUGCUCGAAAAGACCCAUUUUUCUCUCUUAAUUCCCUCAUUCCAAACAAGCUAAAUUCAUGUUCAUUUGCAAUCUCCCAAAUCUCUGGCUAUUGUAGCAGAAAUCUAAAACAAAGACUCUAUGAACGACCAAAACCAUAAUUAAAAUGCAGCCGUCACUUUUUAAAAAAAAAUCAAAAAGGAAUGAAAUUUUCACAGUAGAGACAGGCCUAUGACAAAGAGGUCUGGUCUUGAAUCAUUUGUUUAUUUUUAUCGUUAAAUGUUUUGGAAGGUUUGGAUCCACUGAACAUUGGCAGUUGGUUUCAUCUACGGUCAAGAAGACCAGAAGAUUCGCUACAACCACUUCAAGGGCAGUUCCAUGUCAUCUGGGCAGUUUAGAAUUAAAGUUUUUUCCGAGAGCUGUCACACACGGGGCGAGGCGUGGCUGCGGCCCGGGUCACUCAGAGCCCAGCCGGGUAUGGAUCCCCGCGCCUGCGACACCCGCGUGUGCUCCCACGGAAGGCGAGGGUGCUCGGGAAGGGCAGCCAACGCAGGUUCCCGGCGGUCGCCGCGAGCUGUGCCAGGCCGAACUCUUCCGGGCACCGAGUGACCCGCGAGACCGGCCCGGACAUGCCCAAGCCGUCCUUGGCGCAGCGGCAGGGGGCUGAGGGCUAGGGGGCCGCAGGGCUCCAGGGCACCGGGGGGCGAGCCGAGGACAGCCUCCCGCCGAGCCUCGGCCUCCCACAGCCGCGCUGCCCCGGCCCCGCAGGCCUCGGUGCCGCCGGUCCUCCAGCGGAGUUCCCUCCCGCCUCCCGGGUCCCCCGCGGCCCUUACCUUGCUCCCGGGCCGGGCGCGAGCAGAGGCCGGGGUCGGGGACAGCGGCCCGCGCGGCUCCCACGCUUCCGCCGGAGUCAGGAGUUGAACAUUCCGCCUCUCCGCGCGGCGCCAAUGAGGAAGACGUCGCCGCAACAGCACCACCUACCUCCGAGCGCGGAACCGCCGGCCCGCCAGCCUCCCGGCACGCCCGGCCCUGUGCCCAGUGGGGAGGCCGGGGCUCGAAGUCUCAGAGCCCGGCUGCUGCAAGGCCCCCAACCCACAGCGGGACUGGAAGCACUUGGCUAGGAGCGGGACAGCAAGGAAGGCGAUGUCAGGGUUGUGGGGAGCCUCGGUGGGACUAUCAACAGGUACUUUGGAGAUUUUGAGGAGGAGUCAAGGCCUGCUGCUCUGGUUGGUGACUUUUAAGAUGAAGUGCCCGCGAGAAGACAGAGUCCAUUGCAAGAGUGGACAAAACAUGGCAUCUGGCUUCAGGAAGAAGAGAAAUUGAUUGGGCAAAAUGGAGCUGGAGAGGAAAGAGAGGAGUGGUUGCAAAAGUAAGGGAGACGUUUUCUGAAUUAGAAUUUAGUUGUUCACACACAUGGAGAAUUAAGGAAAGUUGAAAUCGUGCAAAAUGGCAAUUUGUGUUUUAGUGCAUGGCUUUACUUUGGAGCAGAAGGCUUACCAGCCUUAAGAUGUUGGGCCACAUUCUCUUUCCUCCCCAUCCAUUUUAGUAGUGAUUUAGAGAGUUGCCUAGGGAUGGUAACAAGAUAAAUGGUAGAUAUUGUCACUACCUGGUUACAGAUGGAUUUGUGAAGGCCAGAGUUAGAGGGUACAACAUGGGAUCUUUAAAAAAAAAAAAAAAAAAGGAAAUUGGAAUUGAGAGACACGUUUCAGAAAGAGGCCACAGAAAUUUGUGACCCAUUCGGUUGGGAAAGAAGAAAGCGGUGAUGCCAAGAUUUGAGACCUGGGUGACUGGAAGAAUGAUGGUGUCAUUGACAGAAAUAGAGAUCUGCGGAGAGGAAACUGGCUUCCUGCUGAGUUUUGAAGUCAGGAGAGGAAAAAACAGGCAGAGAUGAAACAAGAAACGGAAAUCAGAAAAGAGGCCAAAAGAGAAAUAGAAAUUUUGAACACUGUUCAUAUAUACUUAAUAUGUGAAUGUGAAAGGGUGGGUAGAUAUAAAUGAAUGAGAAAAGAAACCACUUUCUCGUCUGCGAUUAUAAGGACUGAGGUUCUGAGGUUAACAAGUUACAUUUCGGUAAUGGAGAAGACUGAUGGAAACUGUUCCGCUUAAAAAAAAAAAUUCUGUUGUAGGUGAUCAAACAAUUGUUAAAAAAAAAUAAAAAUAAAAAGAGCUGUCUCAAAAA